CAAGAGCGUAUAUUAAAGUUGCUGCGGUUAAAAAGCUCGUAGUUGGAUUUCAGUCUAGGAAGGUUAACUCGCCGAAAGGUUGUACGUUGAUUUUCCUCAGACUUCGUCAGAAGCUCGUGCUGCACUUAACUGUGUGGUACGAUGUUCUGACCUUUUACCUUGAGGAAAGUAGAGUGUUUCAGGCAGGCUACCCAGCUUGAAUACAUUAGCAUGGAAUAAUGAAAUGGAUCUCGGUUCGAUUUCGUUGGUUCUAGAGCUGAGGUGAUGAUCAAUAGGAACAGGCGAAGGUAUUCGUACUUGAGGGUGAGGAGUGAAAUCCGAUGAUCUCUUAAAGACGAUCCGAGGCGAAAGCAUUUGUCAAGGAUGUUUUCAUUGA
rnacentral:rRNA from 1 species